rnacentral:rRNA from 1 species
UACGUAGGAUGCGAGCGUUAUCCGGAUUUAUUGGGUUUAAAGGGUGCGCAGGCGGAUUUUUAAGUCAGCGGUCAAAUCGUGGGGCUCAACCCCAUCCAGCCGUUGAAACUGGGGAUCUAGAGUGUGCGAGAGGUAUGCGGAAUGCGUGGUGUAGCGGUGAAAUGCAUAGAUAUCACGCAGAACCCCGAUUGCGAAGGCAGCAUACCGGUGCACAACUGACGCUCAGGCACGAAAGCGUGGGUAUCGAACAGG